UACGAAGGAUCCAAGCGUUAUCCGGAUUUAUUGGGUUUAAAGGGUGCGUAGGCGGACUAUUAAGUCAGUGGUGAAAGCCCCAGGCUCAACCUGGGAAUUGCCAUUGAUACUGAUGGUCUUGAGUACACUUGAAGUGGGCGGAAUGUGUCAUGUAGCGGUGAAAUGCUUAGAUAUUGGGAAGAACACCGGUGGCGAAGGCGGCCAUCUGGACCGUAUCUGACGCUGAGGCGCGAAAGCGUGGGGAGCAAACAGG
rnacentral:rRNA from 1 species